rnacentral:tRNA from 1 species
GGAGAUAUAGCUUGGUUGGUACAGUGUUUGCCUCACACACACAAGGCCCUGGGUUCAAUCCCCAGCAUCCCUC